rnacentral:lncRNA from 10 species
CUUUGGAGUCUUGCUCUUGCUGCCAGGCUGGAGUGCAGUGGCGGGAUCUCGGCUCACUGCAACCUCCACCUUGUGGGUUCAAGCAAUUCUCCUGCCUCAGCCUCCCGAGUAGCUGGGAUUACAGGGAGCGUUCCACUUGGCUGGGAGCAGAUAAUGUGUGCAUCCCGAGAGCAGACAGAACCAAGAGCAGGCAAACUUAGAAGACACUCAGCUAAGCACUUGCUGACUUCUUACAGGUUCACCGAUCAGGUAAUUAUCCAGUUGAUAUUUAUCUUGUUCCAGUCACCUUUAGAAAGCUGUUUGAAUGUGUAUGGAGAAUAUUCCACUGGGAACCAUGAUAGAUAAAAACUUACCAGGAAGAGCAAAACAUCAAGAGAGUCUGACAAAAGCUCUGCCCUCCUCUGUAACCCAGCAGCCUCUGCAGAAUCAUCCUUUCUUCAUUGUUUUAAAAUGUUGUUAAAUACCUUGUCAGUUGCUUUAAAGGGACCCAGACCCAUUCUGAUAUUUUUACAAAAUAAAUCCAGUCUUUGGGUAAAGGUAUAGUAAUACUAUCCAUGGAUCUGAU